UGUGCGUAUGUGAUAUGGGAAUGUGUGUUAGUGUCURGUCCUCUGUGUGUGAAACUCAAUUCCCCCUGUAACCUGCACACAAACACUGGUCUAUUUCUCCACCUCGUAACCUUGAUGCUCCCUAUGCCACAUCCCGUUUCUAAAUGUUAGUGUACCUGUGUUUUGGGUUGCAAAGAAAUUCCCUGGUUUUCCCCAAAAUCCCAGUUGGAGGAUCCCUGGAAUCAGGAGGGAAUAAGCAGAAAAUCCAGAAUUAUCCAACCAGGAUUUCUGUUAAACCAGGGUAUUAUUUUUAAGUUCCCAGAUUUCUGCUACCUUCCCUACCUGUGUUUGUUUAUGAAAGAGUGAUUUGAAUCCAGUCUAUGCCACACCUGUCUGCCUGUUUCUGCCAGGUGUAUAAUCCUCAUAUCGGAGUGGAGUACGUCCUGGUGACAGCCAUCAGCAAAGCAUCGGCCCAACACAGAGAAGGCCUACAAGACCGAGAUGCAGCACUUUUCACUCGGAGAACUGGUUUCCCCACCAAUCACCCACAGCCUUUUUUAAUAACCUGCGCCAGUGACACGGACCCCCCCCCCGUGACAAAUGAACACGUGAAAGACCCAGUCCUCCACUUUAACAGGGACAAAACGUAUCCAGAUAUUUUGAGGUCCAACCUGGAUUCGGUCGUGCUGCAGCUCAAGAAGCUAGGUACCGACGACUUGGUACAUUU